GACGAACGCUGGCGGCGUGCCUAACACAUGCAAGUCGAGCGAUGAAGCCCUUCGGGGUGGAUUAGCGGCGGACGGGUGAGUAACACGUGGGUAACCUGCCUCAAAGAGGGGGAUAGCCUCCCGAAAGGGAGAUUAAUACCGCAUAACAUUAGUUUUUCGCAUGAAGAACUAAUUAAAGGAGUAAUCCGCUUUGAGAUGGACCCGCGGCGCAUUAGCUAGUUGGUGAGGUAAAGGCUCACCAAGGCGACGAUGCGUAGCCGACCUGAGAGGGUGAGCCGCCACCUUCGAACUGCGACACGGUCAAGACGCCUACGGGAGGCAGCAGUGGGGAAGAUUGCACAAUGGGCGAAAGCAUGAUGCAGCAACGCCGCGUGAGUGAUGAAGGCCUUCGGAUUGUAAAGCUCUGUCUUUUGGGACGAUAAUGACGGUACCAAAGGAGGAAGCCACGGCUAACUACGUGCCAGCCGCCGCCGUAAUAC
rnacentral:rRNA from 1 species